rnacentral:ncRNA from 1 species
GGGGUAGAGGCGCGGUAUUUAAGAGUAGGCUGUGUGAGGAUGACAACUAUGACCACAGUUGAAAGGAAAAAUCGCCGAAGCUACUAAAUCUGUCAAGUUUUAGUAUGCUGGGGUUGCUCUGAAUAAGAGUAACACUGUCAUUAUGAAGGAAAUCCUUUUAAUGAAGAGCUACAG